rnacentral:lncRNA from 10 species
GAGGGAAAGCAAGGAGGGAAAAUGAGCCGGCCGUGUUCCUCCCUGGCGGGUUUCUAAGUAGAAAGAAGGCCCAAGCUGCGGAGGAGAGAAGCUGUUGUAUGAUAAAAAUAUCACAUUUUGAAAUUGCACCAGGCUGAACCAGAGACAUAUGAUUGUCAGACUGGACUGGGAUUUUGGUUCUCUGAGAAUAACGAUCCAGGAAUGUAAAAUGGCACAGCUUCGGUGGAAAAC